UACGAAGGGGGCUAGCGUUGUUCGGAUUAACUGGGCGUAAAGGGUGCGUAGGCGGGUUUUUAAGUCAGGGGUGAAAUCCCGAGGCUCAACCUCGGAACUGCCUUUGAUACUGGAAAUCUUGAGUCUGGGAGAGGUGAGUGGAACUGCGAGUGUAGAGGUGAAAUUCGUAGAUAUUCGCAAGAACACCGGUGGCGAAGGCGGCUCACUGGCCCGGAACUGACGCUGAGGCACGAAAGCUAGGGGAGCAAACAGG
rnacentral:rRNA from 1 species